UUUUGUCAACUGGGGUGGAAGUGCCAUUAUUGAUUCUAGCAACUUGCAAUCUCUUAAACCAAGGUAUUGCAGCUCCGUAAGCAUGCUGAUGCUAUGAGGUAAAUGAAGAAAAGGGUUUCCACUUAGAUCUAAUACUUCCAGUGAGAAUAAGCUGCCGAUGCAGUCGGGAAUCCAGGACAUCCCACAACCAGUUAGAUAUAG
rnacentral:misc_RNA from 1 species